rnacentral:rRNA from 1 species
CAGCAGCCGCGGUAAUACGAAGGGGGCUAGCGUUGUUCGGAUUUACUGGGCGUAAAGCGCACGUAGGCGGACUUUUAAGUCAGGGGUGAAAUCCCGGGGCCCAACCCCGGAACUGCCUUUGAUACUGGAAGUCUUGAGUAUGGUAGAGGUGAGUGGAAUUCCGAGUGUAGAGGUGAAAUUCGUAGAUAUUCGGAGGAACACCAGUGGCGAAGGCGGCUCACUGGACCAUUACUGACGCUGAGGUGCGAAAGCGUGGGGAGCAAACAGGAUUAGAUACCCCAGUAGUCCCUGUCUCUUAUAC